rnacentral:rRNA from 1 species
CCCCAAUGGACGAAAGUCUGAGGGAGCGACGCCGCGUGAAUGAAGAAGCCCUUCGGGGUGUAAAAUUUCUUUCUUUAGGAAAAAUUCGUGAUGGUACUAAAGGAAUAAGGGGCCGCCAAACUCGUGCCAGCAGCGGCGGUAAUACGAGUGCCCGAGCGUUAUCCGGAAUUACUGGGCGUAAAGCGCUAAAAGGCGGUUUGAUAAGUCAGACGUCAAAUCUCCGAGCUCAACUCGGAGCCGGUGUCUG